UGGGGAAUUUUGUACAAUGGGGGAAACCCUGAUCCAGCCAUCCCGCGUGUGCGAUGAAGGCCUUCGGGUUGUAAAGCACUUUUGGCAGGAAAGAAACGUCAUGGGUUAAUACCCCGUGAAACUGACGGUAUCUGCAGAAUAAGCACCGGCUAACUACGUGCCAGCAGCCGCGGUAAUACGUAGGGUGCAAGCGUUAAUCGGAAUUACUGGGCGUAAAGCGUGCGCAGGCGGUUCGGAAAGAAAGAUGUGAAAUCCCAGAGCACAACUUGGGAACGGCUUUUUUAACUACCGGGCUAGAGUGUAUCAGAGGGGGGUGGAAUUCCGCGUGUAGCAGUGAAAUGCGUAGAUAUGCGGAGGAACACCGGUGGAGAAGGCAGCCUCCUGGGAUAACACUGACGCUCAUGCACGAAAGCGUGGGGAGCAAACAGG
rnacentral:rRNA from 1 species